rnacentral:tRNA from 2 species
GUAGCCCAAUGGUUAGAGCCAACCGCUCAUAACGGUCUGGUUGCAGGUUCGAGUCCUGCUCAGG